UAUUUUGGUAGAACUUAAAGGUUAAAAUACAUUUUUGAGACAGGAUCUCAGGCUGGAGAGAUGGCUCAGCCGUUAAAGGCUAGGCUCACAACCAAAAUAUA
rnacentral:miRNA from 14 species